CUGUUAAACGAACUGACUUCCGUGCAAUUUUUGCGAGCUUCUGGGUUUUAAAAUAAAAAAAGUACCUAUGUAUGUACAAAUAAUUUCAUAAAAAGUGCAUUUUCAAGUGUUCACAUUGUAUAAGUAUUAUUAUUAUUAUGGUCUUGUGCAGUGAGGAAAAACACAAUGUGGACGAUUUAUUGUCCGUCGAUGAAUUCGUCGAGAAAAAAUCAUUUCGCAUAUGGAUUGACUCGGCGAGAAGAGAUCCGACCGGGAUAAACGCCAUGGACAUUGACGGAUGGCUAAAUAUAACAGGGAAUAACGGAGUGAAAAGGUUGAAGCGGACGAAGACUUGAACGGUCUGAUAUUAGCCUAACAAGAAGAAUAACAUAUUUUUAUUAGGUUGGGGUAUUUAAAAAUAUUCUAACAGAUAUUUUAACUGACUUCCAAUGGAGUAUUACAAUAGGUAGCAAAUAUUAUUGUAAUAAUUUUGUACGAUUAUAUCAGUAAUCAUAUUUGAACUUCCGCCCUCUCGAUAAACAUUAUCGUGUUUAUAGGUUUUAUUGGUGUACAUUAUUCAAUUUACAAACGGAUCUACUUUAUUAUGUACAUCAGUAUAUUAUAAUAUAAAUACCAAUACGAAUAGGUUUCAUGUAUAAAAUAUACGUCGUUUCGUACAAGAGGCAUUAUUUGUAUUUACUUUUCACUGCCGGUUGUUUGUAAAAGUGUUUGAUUAAUGUCAAUUUUAACAUAUACAAUAAUUUAUUGAAUUCGAUUGGGAAUUAUACGACAACGGCGCGCCGACGCGACGUUAAUUAUCGGUUAGGUUUCGUUUUAGACACGUAAAUUACGUACCUAUUUAGAAACCUGAACCUUAACACGAUGCUUUUUAUUACUUGUUUUUUAUUAUUUUUUAUUUUAUUUAUAUAGAAAAUCCGAGGCUAUACUCGUGACACUCGUAAAUAGUUUUCACGCAGAUAUUAUUUUUUGUGUAGGUAUACAAAAACAUACAUAAUGUUGUAAUUUAUGUUCCUACAUAAAACUUUAUAAUUCGUAAAAAUAUCCAACUAAUAAAACGUUUAAGAAGAAAACGGCAUUUAAAAAAAAAAUACAUAAUACUUUUAAUUUAUACAAACAAAUUUAAAGCUAAAAAACACUCUACGUAUUGAUGAAGUAUUCUUGAAUUCUAAAAUGCUGU